UUAGAUGCGAUGAAGGAACAAUGGCCCAAGCGAUCAACCUGCAGAGAGCCGGUGGCGGGUGAAAACCGGCGGAGACGUUUGGCGUUAACAGCACUCCUGAGCAGCUGUAUUGAACCGAUAGUAGGUACAGCCGGCAGAAACCGUUAUCGUUCAUGGUCGUAAGACCGGUGAGGUUAUACUUGUUGACAGUAUAACGAAUUAGGGUGGCACCACGAAAUAAACUCUCGUCCCUUAC
rnacentral:ncRNA from 1 species